GAUAACAGAAACCAAUGAAGCUAAUAAGAGACAUGUUAUAUCAAUGCAUGGCCCAAAGCCAACAGAUUAGAGCUGACAUAUUUGGUCUGGAGCUGUCCUGUCGUGAGGGACCUGAGAAGCAGAUAGCCAGAUACCUGGAAACACUCGACUGAUGGCUUCAAACUGAAAAAUCCACAAGAAUCUGCUAGUGCACAGAUGUUAUAUUCCAGCUGUGCAAAAGAAUUUAUUGCUUUCUUGUUGCUAUGCCAACAAAAAUAUAUGUAAAAAAAUACUGGAUUUCUUUUUGUUGUCAGGUUAAUAAACGUGUCACACUUGUA